rnacentral:rRNA from 1 species
GAAUACCGAUGGCGAAGCAGCCCCCUGGGCCAAUACUGACGCUCAUGCACGAAAGCGUGGGGAGCAACAGGAUUAGAUACCCUGGUAGUCCACGCCCUAAACGAUGUCAACUGGUUGUUGGGGAUUCAUUUCCUUAGUAACGUAGCUAACGCGUGAAGUUGACCGCCUGGGGAGUACGGUCGCAAGAUUAAAACUCAAAGGAAUUGACGGGGACCCGCACAAGCGGUGGAUGAUGUGGAUUAAUUCGAUGCAACGCGAAAAACCUUACCUACCCUUGACAUGUACGGAAGUCCGCUGAGAGGUGGAUGUGCCCGAAAGGGAGCCGUAACACAGGUGCUGCAUGGCUGUCGUCAGCUCGUGUCGUGAGAUGUUGGGUUAAGUCCCGCAACGAGCGCAACCCUUGUCCCCAGUUGCUACGCAAGAGCACUCCGGGGAGACUGCCGGUGACAAACCGGAGGAAGGUGGGGAUGACGUCAAGUCCUCAUGGCCCUUAUGGGUAGGGCUUCACACGUCAUACAAUGGUCGGAACAGAGGGUAGCCAACCCGCGAGGGGGAGCCAAUCCCAGAAAACCGAUCGUAGUCCGGAUUGCAGUCUGCAACUCGACUGCAUGAAGCUGGAAUCGCUAGUAAUCGCGGAUCAGCAUGCCGCGGUGAAUACGU